rnacentral:tRNA from 1 species
GGGGGUAUAGCUCAGUUGGCUAGAGUACUUGCAUGGCAUGCAAGGGGUCCGGGGUUCGAAUCCCCGUACCUCCA